GGAGGGAAUGCUGGUGAAAGAGACACAGAACAGAAGGGAGGUCUCCGUAAAGAUCAGUGGGUAGAAGAAAGAAGUGGCAGUAAGAGAGUCAUCUGAUGUGAAGAACCUAGGCAGGUCAAGAGUUGAGCAGGUAGGACGCUCUUGUUGCUCAGUGGCCUUUUCUAGGCCACAGCUGAAAGCUUAGGCCCUUAGGGCCAAGAGUAUGGGACAGAGCUUUUCUCUGGAGAUUGCAGGAUCACAGGACACUAAAAAACACACUGAUGAUGAAUGCAGCCACCAGCACAAUAGCACAGGGAGUGAAGGGGGCGAUAGCACUCCUCCCCCCAAGCGCAAGGGCAAGUUGUCUACACUGGGCAAGAUCUUCAAACCUUGGAAAUGGAGAAAGAAGAAAAGCAGCGAGAAGUUUAAGGAAACUUCAGAAGUUUUGGAAAGAAAGAUGUCGAUGAGAAGACCACGGGAGGAGCUGAUCGAGCAGGGAGUCCUAAAGGAGCUUCCUGAUAACGAGGCAGAUGAGGCACAUGGGUCCAAGCCACCAUAUGUGAAGAAUGGCCACACGCUACCUGUAGGGGGCACCAUUGGAAGCGGAAGUCGGGGAAUUGAGUCAGUUCGGCCUACCUCUGAAUUGCAAUUCAGGGUCAAUCCGGAGCGCAGGGGUCGUGACCCCUCUGAUGCAGAGCGACGUGCAAUAUCUAGCCAGGAUGACUGCUGGAGAGGAGGCCGGGUUGCAGUAGAUGAGUGGAAGCCAAGUGUGGGCUGGCAGGGAGAGGAAAUAAAGCAUGGAGGCAGAAUCCACACAGACACAGAGAGAAAGCCCGGUCUGAUCAAAGCCCCUUCAGAGGAUGGCAGAAGAACUCGCCCUGAAGUCGAUUGGAAGCCAAGCCUUCCCCGACACUCAUCCGCUGAGGAGGGCAGAGGAAGGCGAGAAUCGGACAGCAGUCACUAUAUUCCCGACCCUGAGACACUGAGGGAUACACUGCGAGAGCCUCUGCCCCCUAAGCAGACAAUUAUGACCCCCAAAUGGCUGAUGAGCUCCACCGCAGAAUGUGGCACUGAUGUCAUGCAACACACACCCGUCCACAGCCCUGCAACCUCAUUCUCCACCUCCGGAUCCUCCAACUCUCCAUCAUCCUCUGUCCCCGGCGCAACCGCAAAGACCCUGCGGAUGGCCCCGUCUGCUGUGGCCAGCGUGCCCCUGGGAUCCUCUUUCACCCAGUCCUCCACCCAAGGGUUAAUGCCAGCACAGCAUGCUAGGCAGCCCCCACUCCCUCCACCCAAACCAGUCAACCGCACCACCAACGCUGCUAUGCUGGCUUCCACCCUUCAAGGGGGUGAUCCCUUUCCCCUCUACUGGUCCUGCUGGAAGCGUGAAGCUGACUAUGAUGUCUACCUGUCACUGCCCGUGUACUUAUGCCGUCGGGCAGGAGGUGGGCGCACAGCUGAACUCACACAGGUUGUAGGAAGUGCCAACCCAGCUCAAGCUAAGCCAUCGCCACCUAUGCCCCCCAAGAGAACCACGCCGGUCACAAAGCGCCACACUGAGAACUCCACCCUUUCUAUCGCCUCUCUGCCCUCAAUGCUCUCUCCUGAGGACAGGGCAAAUAUCCCAGGAGGGUUCCCGCUCCCCCCGCCGCCACCGUCCCCACCUCUCCCCACGCACAUACCACCCUCGCCUCCUCGAGGACACCCUCACCAGCUCUUCCACCAACACUCCUAUCCUCAUCCUCUCCCCGACCCAUUACCUGUCCAUUUUGACCCUCCGAGCCCGCAGGAAGAGCUGCCUACACGUCAAGCCCCAGUACCCCUGCACAUCAUGAUCCAGCGUGCACUGAUCAGCCCCGGAGCUGCCCUGCCUCACCUGGAUGCCUCCCACCGUGCCCACUCGCUGCUGUUUGAAACCCCUCCAGAGUACCAAGGAUCUCGCCCGCUGCCGGUCACCAUCCAGCCUUUAAAAAUGGCUGAAGAUGACUACUCUGAUGAAGAGGAAGAAGAGGAGGAAGAUGAAGAAGAGGAGGAGGAGGAGGAGGAGGAUGAAGAUGAGCCACCUCCUGAACACCUCCCUCCCCCUCAAAUUCAGCCAGAGCUGGAGCCUCGUAGCCGCCGGUGCCUAGUGGGUGAUGUGAACAUCCGAAUUAUGCCAGAGGGAUCAGACAGCAGUGAGGAAGAGGAGAGAGAGGAAGAUCAACAGGCUGAUGAGAGUGACUCAGAUGGCCCUGUGCUUUACAAAGAGGAGGAAUCAGAUGAAGAGGACGACAGUCCACCGAGUAGUCUGGCCAGCAGGGUGAAGAGGAAGGACACUUUGGCUCUGAAGCUGAGCAGUCGGCCUUCAGCCCCAGACAGACAGGCUCCUGAGAGGCAGACCAGAAUGGAGUACACAGGUCUGUCGUGGCAGAGCAAAGAGCAGUGGGAGGCCAUCCGCACACAGAUUGGCACAGCACUCACACGACGACUGAGCCAGAGGCCCACCGCUGAGGAGCUGGAACAGAGAAACAUUCUCCAGCCCAAAAAUGAAGCUGAUCGGCAGGCAGAAGUUCGGGAGAUUAAACGCAGGCUCACCAGAAAGUUAAGUCAGAGGCCAACAGUUGCUGAGUUACAGGCCAGAAAGAUUCUGCGCUUCCAUGAGUAUGUGGAGGUCACACACGCUCAAGACUACGAUCGUCGUGCUGAAAAACCAUGGACCAAACUCACACCCGCCGACAAGGCUGCAAUACGGAAGGAACUCAACGAGUUCAAAAGUUCUGAGAUGGAAGUACAUGAAGAAAGUAGAAUUUAUACAAGGUUUCAUCGUCCAUAACAUCUUCCAUUGCCUGUAAAGUGAAACAUUUGAGCACUGGUGGCAGGGUGUCUGCGUGCCUGUGUGAAUGCGUGUCUGUGUGUGUCUUAGUGCGUGCGUGCGUGCGUGCGGAGCUUCAGGGUGUUUGUACUACUAACAAAUUGCCCUUCAGUGAAUGUACUGUACAGAUACGUGGAACUAAUAGAAAACUUUUCCUCACUCAUCUGCCCUUUGUAAAUAUGACAGAUGGGAGGGCUAAGAACAAUACAGUAUUUCUCCCUGAUGUUGAAGGGAGACAGACAACCAGAGCACUAAUGAAGAAGCCUCAAAUAUGGAUGUACAGUGUGUGUGUGUGCCAUCAGGAGAACAUCUCUCAGGAACCGAGAUCCCCUUUAGUAGCAUAGGGCUGAAGGGGAAGGAAAGGUCAAGACUGACCAUUAUAAUUAAAUAUUCAGCUUUUCCUUUUAGGGAAAUGUGUAAACCAUAACAAAUAGUAUUUAAGUAAUGAUAAUAAAUAAUUGUUAGAUUCAUAUGGACUGAGCAGAAUUGAGUACAGAUGGACUUUGCAUGGACAGGAAUGUGUGUAUGUGUGUACAGUGUUGUAAUUUUCUCUUAGGCUGAAACUUUUAAAUUUAAUCAUUAGUAACUAAAGCACAAUGUAUUAUGAUGCAUUGUUACAUUUGUGUGAAAUGGGGACAGGUUUAUUUAUGCCUGCCUUGCUUACAUUUGCCCUUCCUGUGCAACUUAUUAUUAGAAAAUGGGAAGGGAGAAAAAGGAUGGCCUCUUUUAUUUAUUUCUUUUUUCUUUUCUUUUUUUUAAGUCUUUGAGCAUUACACUUCAUGAUUCUAAUCUAAAAAUCUAACUACACUAUUUUAUGUUUUAAUCCCUUUUUAACAAUCUAGGGCUGAAUCAGUUAAAGUACAAUUUUAAAGUCAUAUUUCUGAAAGUUAGGACUGCAUUUUUGUCUUAAUAAGAAUAAAUUAUAAUGUAGUUUGAAUUCAGUUUCAAGCCAAGUGAACAGUCCAAGUAUUGAUAUAACACUAUGAAGAAGGUUGUGGUUUUCUUUUUGUUUGUUUUUUUUGUUUGUUUUUUAAAUAGUGUAAUUAUUUCAGCUCACAUCAUUUUCUCCUUUUCUUCUUUUUAAAUAUCUAUGGCCAGUAGAAUAAUAUGCUCAAUAAACAUGCUCUGCUGUACAGAUCUACUAUUUAGAUUAAACUAACUGUUGUGUAUAUCUUGCCUUCCUAUUAUUUGGAAUUGUAUUUUAAAUAUUAUGAAAGUAAUAUAGGUUGCUAUUUUUUUAAGCACAAAAUAUUUGUGUUUUAUUCAAUGCUUUAAAAGCUCCUUUUAUUUUGUUUUUUUUGUUUUUUGUUUUUGUUUUUUGUUUUAAUUUGAUUAUGUGAACAUUUAGGAACUGACAGUAUUUUUCUGUUUAGAUGUUGCCUAUGAAUCUAAAUUAAAAGCUUACAAAUA